GUUCGCGUCCCAUUAGCUUGUUGGUGAGGUAACGGCUCACCAAGGCUGCGAUGGGUAGCCGAUCUGAGAGGAUGACCGGCCACACUGGAACUGAGAAACGGUCCAGACUCCUACGGGAGGCAGCAGUGGGGAAUAUUGGGCAAUGGGCGAAAGCCUGACCCAGCAACGCCGCGUGAGGGAAGAAGGUUUUCGGAUCGUAAACCUCUGUCGCAGGGGAUGAAACAAAUGACAGUACCCUGUGAGGAAGCUCCGGCUAACUACGUGCCAGCAGCCGCGGUAAUACGUAGGGAGCAAGCGUUGUCUGGAAUGACUGGGCGUAAAGGGCGCGUAGGUGGCCCGAUAAGUUAGGAGUGAAAGUCCCGCUUUCAAGGUGGGAAUUGCUUUUGAUACUGUCGGGCUUGAGUGUGGGAGAGGAUAGCGGAAUUCCCGGUGUAGCGGUGAAAUGCGUAGAGAUCGGGAGGAACACCAGUGGCGAAGGCGGCUAUCUGGACCAAGACUGACACUGAGGCGCGAAAGCGUGGGGAGCAAACAGGAUUAGAUACCCUGGUAGUCCACGCUGUAAACGAUGGAUGCUAGGUGUAGGAGGUAUCGACCCCUUCUGUGCCGCAGUUAACACAAUAAGCAUCCCGCCUGGGGAGUACGGCCGCAAGGUUGAAACUCAAAUGAAUUGACGG
rnacentral:rRNA from 1 species